rnacentral:rRNA from 1 species
UACGUAGGUCCCGAGCGUUGUCCGGAUUUAUUGGGCGUAAAGCGAGCGCAGGUGGUUUAUUAAGUCUGGUGUAAAAGGCAGUGGCUCAACCAUUGUAUGCAUUGGAAACUGGUAGACUUGAGUGCAGGAGAGGAGAGUGGAAUUCCAUGUGUAGCGGUGAAAUGCGUAGAUAUAUGUAGGAACACCGGUGGCGAAAGCGGCUCUCUGGCCUGUAACUGACACUGAGGCUCGAAAGCGUGGGGAGCAAACAGG